CUCUUCUGCUCCCCUCAGUGUGUCUGGGUGAAAGAAGGGUGACCCAGAACAAACCGUUUGCACACGCACACAAACGCACUUCUCUUCCAGAACAGAUGGAGGGAUUGUCUUUGACCUUAACUUUUUCUGUAUGCAUUGCGCUGAUCAUUAUAGAAAUUGCCAACAGAUACCAAACACUUAACCCCUAAGUCUCCUCCAAAAUAGAGAAAAAGAAUAAAGCCGAGCAAGAGGAGAGAAUGGUCCACGAGUUGUCCUGAAAUGCAUAAACAACUUCAAGAGCCUACCAAAGAUGAUUACUUUGCAGCACAGAACUGGUCCUGGCCUGUUACUGCCAGCUAUGGUCUCUAACAAGCCCUCUACAGUCUCCAAUCAUUUCCAGGAUCCAAACACAGUCUGUUACCAAACAGGUGAGCCCUAGAAGAGGCAGAAGUCAGGGGUGACAAGACACAUCUGAAACCAGGACAAUCUUAGAAACUCAGGACUUAUGGUUGCUGCAUCUAUAGCACAAAUAUAUAUAUAAAACAACCAGUAUAUUAAGCAAGAAUACAGUUCUAUGGUAACACUAUCUUGCUGUUGUCAUUAGUCAAAAGUGAAUAUCAAACUGUUUAUAAAAUGUGGCCUACACACCCUGGCACUUUCCUUUAGGUACAGAUCUUCCUCAAUUUUCAUGGGGUUACAUCCUGGUUAUAUAUUUAUAAUAUUUAUAAGUUGAAAUAUUUUAAGUCAAAUAUGUACCUCAUACACCUAACAUAUUGAACUUCAUAGCUUUGUUUAGCCUUCUUUAAACCUGCUCAGAACAGCUACAUUAUUCUAGAAUUGGGCAAAAUCAUAUAACACAGAACCUAUUUUAUAAUAAAGCACUGAAUA